GCGGGUGUAACUCAGUUGGUAGAGUACAAGCUUCCCAAGCUUGGAGUCGCGGGUUCGAAUCCCGUCACCCGCUCCA
rnacentral:tRNA from 1 species